rnacentral:rRNA from 1 species
CCCUUAGAUGUUCUGGGCCGCACGCGCGCUACACUGACAGAGCCAGCGAGUUAUUUCACCUUGGCCGGAAGGCUCCGGGUAAUCUUGUGAAACUCUGGUCGUGCUUUGGGAUCGAGCAUUGCAAUUAUUGCUCGUGAACGAGGAAUACCUAGUAAGCGCAAGUCAUCAGCUUGCGUUGAUUACGUCCCUGCCCUUUGUACACACCGCCCGUCGCUACUACCGAUUGAAUGGCUUAGUGAGGCCUCAGGAUCCGCGCUUAAUGUGUGGAGAAUUUGGACAAACUACGUCAUUUAGAGGAAGUAAAAGUCGUAACA